rnacentral:lncRNA from 1 species
CACCAGUGUUCUUAUUGCAGUGAUUCUGUUUCUGGAAGCUUGAAACAAUGUUAUGAAUUUAUAAUCUAAUAUUUUCUUUUUUCAACUUUCACUGUGUACAGGGCCCUGUAUUUUUCCUUGAAGAUGGGAAAUCUGCUAUUUCAUUGAAUGAUGCUUUGAUGUGGGCAAAGGUGAAUCCAUUCUCACCUUUAGGAACUGGACUACGACUCAAUCCAUUUUGAUAGAAGAUUUUUGUUCAUGCUUAAAUUAUUUUUUAAAAGAAGAACUUUUGUAGAUUAGUAUUACCUUGGUCUUGAUCAUCCAAGAGCCAAAGGUUGGGAGGAGGAGUGGUGGUUGGGAACAGUGGGAAACAGUAGUUACUUUGAUUCAUUAACUUCAAAAAAUAAAAUAUUUAUAUAAU